CCGGAGUAGCUCAGUCGGUUAGAGCAGCGGAAUCAUAAUCCGCGUGUCGGGGGUUCGAGUCCCUCCUCCGGCA
rnacentral:tRNA from 1 species